UCCCGGGUUGUGUAACGGUCAGCACAGGCGACUUUGACUCGCCUAGUCAUGGUUCGAAUCCAUGCCCGGGAG
rnacentral:tRNA from 1 species